rnacentral:rRNA from 1 species
GGUCACUGCUAUUGGGAUUCGACUAAGCCAUGCGAGUCGAGAGGGUUCGGCCCUCGGCUGACGGCUCAGUAACACGUGGAUAAUCUGCCCUUGGGUGGAGGAUAAUCUCGGGAAACUGAGGAUAAUACUCCAUAGAUCUAGGAUGCUGGAAUGCAUCUAGAUUGAAAGCUCCGGCGCCUAAGGAUGAGUCUGCGGACUAUCAGGUUGUAGUCAGGGUAAAGACCUGACUAGCCUACGACGGAUACGGGUUGUGAGAGCAAUAACCCGGAGACGAUAUCUGAGACACGAUAUCGGGCCCUACGGGGCGCAGCAGGCGCGAAAACUUCACACUGUGCGAAAGCGCGAUGAGGGAAUCCCAAGUGUUUGCUCGUAAGAGUAAACUGUUUCUUUGUUUAAAACGCAGAGAGAGUAAGGGCUGGGUAAGACGGGUGCCAGCCGCCGCGGUAAUACCUGCAGCUCAAGUGGUGAUCAUUAUUAUUGGGCCUAAAACGUCCGUAGCCGGUUUAGUAAAUGCCUGGGUAAAUCGUGUAGCUUAACUAUACGACUUCCGGGUAGACUGCUAAACUUGAGACCGGGAGAGGCUAGAGGUACUCCUGGGGUAGAGGUGAAAUUCUGUAAUCCUAGGGGGGCCACCAGUGGCGAAGGCGUCUAGCUAGAACGGGUCUGACGGUGAGGGACGAAGCCCUGGGGCACAAACCGGAUUAGAUACCCGGGUAGUCCAGGGUGUAAACGCUGCUUGCUUGAUGUUAGUUGGGCUCCGAGCCCAACUAGUGUCGGAGAGAAGUUGUUAAGCAAGCUGCCUGGGAAGUACGGUCGCAAGGCUGAAACUUAAAGGAAUUGGCGGGGGAGCACAGCAACGGGUGGAGCGUGCGGUUUA